rnacentral:ncRNA from 1 species
UUUAAUUAUUUAGUAAUAAUAUAUUAGUUUUAAUUAAUUUUGUUAAAUUAAAUUAGUUUUAAGGUGUUAAUUUUAUGCUUAUUAUUUUUUCUUAAAGAUUUUAUUUGCAGUUUUUAGUAUUGUUUAUUUGAAGAAAUUUAGAUUCAGAUAAUUUUUUAGGAUUAUAUAAAGUUGUGCCAGCAUAUGCGGUUAGACAUCUAAUUCAAAUUAAUUUUUUUAGUUUUAGAUUUAUUAAUUACUUUAUUGAAAUUAUAUUUUUUAUUUUUAGGUUAAAUUUUAUUUUAAAUUAUAUUUUUGGUUUAAGAAAUUAUUUUAAAUUCAUUAUUGAAACUAGGAUUAGAUACCCUAUUAUUAUGAAUGUACUUAAAUCUAUAUUAUUAAUGGUUAUGUUCCUUAAAAUAAAUAAAUUUGGCGGUAACCUAUUCUUUUUAGAGGAACCUGUUCUAUAAUUGAUAAUCCACGUUGUAUAUCACUUUAUUUUAAUGUUUGUAUAUCUCUGUCAUUGAAUGUCUUAUUAGGGUAUUUUCUUAAUAUUAUUAUUUAAAUAAUGUCAAGUCAAGGUGCAGCUAUUUUAAAGGUUGAAAUGGGUUACAUUUAAUUUGUAUUUAUAGGAUUAAUUAGUGUAUUAUUAGUUAUGAAAUAGGAUUUGAAAGUAAAUUAUAAUAUCUUUUAUUUUUGAUUUUGGCUCUGGGUUAUGUACAUAUCGCCCGUCACUCUCAUUUAUUUUAUAUGGGAUAAGUCGUAACAAAGUAAUUUUACUGGAAAGUGAUGUUGGAAGGAU